UAUAACAAAUUAGUUAUUAAAGGGCGGACGUAGCCAAGUGGAUUAAGGC
rnacentral:tRNA from 1 species